GCGCAGCAGUCGCGAAUUUUUCUCAAUGGGCGAAAGCCUGAAGGAGCGACGCCGCGUGGGGGAUGAAUGGCUUCGGCCCGUAAACCCCUGUCAUUUGUGAACAAAUUGCUUCACCCAACACGUGAAGCAUUGAUAGUAACGGAAGAGGAAGGGACGGCUAACUCUGUGCCAGCAGCCGCGGUAAUACAGAGGUCCCAAGCGUUGUUCGGAUUCACUGGGCGUAAAGGGUGCGUAGGCGGUCGGGUAAGUCUGACGUGAAAUCUCCGGGCCUAACCCGGAAACUGCGUCGGAUACUAUCCGGCUAGAGGAUUGGAAGGGAGACUGGAAUACUUGGUGUAGCAGUGAAAUGCGUAGAUAUCAAGUGGAACACCAGUGGCGAAGGCGAGUCUCUGGACAAUUCCUGACGCUGAGGCACGAAAGCCAGGGGGGCAAACGGGAUUAGAUACCCCGGUAGU
rnacentral:rRNA from 1 species